rnacentral:rRNA from 1 species
GACGAACGCUGGCGGCGUGCUUAACACAUGCAAGUCGAACGGAAAGGCCCUGCUUUUGUGGGGUGCUCGAGUGGCGAACGGGUGAGUAACACGUGAGUAACCUGCCCUUGACUUUGGGAUAACUUCAGGAAACUGGGGCUAAUACCGGAUAGGAGCUCCUGCUGCAUGGUGGGGGUUGGAAAGUUUCGGCGGUUGGGGAUGGACUCGCGGCUUAUCAGCUUGUUGGUGGGGUAGUGGCUUACCAAGGCUUUGACGGGUAGCCGGCCUGAGAGGGUGACCGGCCACAUUGGGACUGAGAUACGGCCCAGACUGCUACGGGAGGCAGCAGUGGAGAAUAUUGCACAAUGGGCGGAAGCCUGAUGCAGCAACGCCGCGUGCGGGAUGACGGCCUUCGGGUGGUAAACCGCUUUCGCCUGAGACGAAGCGUGAGUGACGGUAAUGGGUAAAGAAGCACCGGCUAACUACGUG